UUUAUACUCCCUCCGUCCGGAAAUACUUGUCCGAGGAAUGGAUGCAUCUAGAUGUAUUUUAGUUCUAGAUACAUCCAUUUGUAUCCAUUUCUACGACAAGUAUUUCCAGACGGAGGGAGUACAUC
rnacentral:pre_miRNA from 1 species